GCGGUGCAAGAUCGGGCGAGCUCGGCAGGACGACGGCGUUCUCCGGCGUCCCUCUUCACCGUCGACGGUAUUAUCAUCAGUAAGACCCCCCUCCUCAUCUCUUCCCGUAUCCUCCUCCAUGAACUUCUGAAUUUCUGGGAUUAGGGUUAUUGGUUUUUGGGAGCGGUGCUGGGAAAGAGGAAGAAGACCAAGGAAAGGAAAGGAAAGGAAAAUGAGAAGCUCGGGUGAUGGAGGUAAUGCUGGAGAAGGGCUCCUGGCGGUGGGAUCAAUUCUAGGAGGAGGUGGAGAUCAUAGCAGAGGAUAUGAAGGCCGUGUGGAUGACAUAGAAGAAGAGGAGGAGCUCAAGGCUGCGGAGAAAAAGGACAACAGUAGAGUAUCAGACUUCCAUCUAGUUGAGAUCAACUUUUGUUUUCACGGGACAUGUGAAUCCUCUCUCUGAUUUGGUUUUGUCUAAAUUUCACGAAUUUUCAUCCUGAAGUAAAAAAAUGAUGGUUCUGACUUGAUUGAAUGUUAGUAGUGAUGUACAUAAAGAAUCAGCCUGUACCUAGCUGACAAUGCUAAUUCUCUGUAAAUUUGUGUUAAUCAAAAUUUGCGCAUACAUACGAGCAAUAUUUCUUCAACUAAAGAAUAUUCACCUUCCGAAUUUUUUUGUUUUAUGCUAUUCUUAAGAUAAGAUUUAUAUCGGUGAUGCUAGCUUUAUGUUUUGUGAAUUUAUCAGGCAAACCAAUAAUUCAAAUUCUGCCAAGAAAUCUAGGAGCAGAAGAAGAUGUAUGCUUUAGGUGUACGUGAAUCUUUAAGCCGUUCCUUUCUAGGAAAAUUUCUAAGACUGUUUUUGUUUUACCCAAAGGUUUUCAAGCUUUGGGUGCCUGCGGCCGGCUCGACGGGUGGCAUCAGCAAGCGCCGGCCGGCCUCGGCACUGCUGUUGGUGGUUAUAUGGUGGGCGGAGCACACUAGUGGGCUUCAACGUCAGGAUGCACCAGCAACAGAACAUGAAGAAUGUUGUGGCGAGGUGAGCGAAAUCUGGCAGAUUGCGGACAGAGGCCACGGAAGGUGACCGGAACCCCAACGUGGCCCUGAAAUCAACCACCAAUGGGCAAGCAUAGAGGAGGUGACUCGCUGACUGCAGCGGGGAAUGGCGGAGUGGGCAACUAUUCCACGCUCUAAAAUUGAGGUUUAGAGCAAUUAAAAAGAAUCAUGUUCCUGCUUUUUUCUCCUUGCUGUGAGUGUAUUGGAGUAUAGGGUUCUCCCUGGAGGGUCGUGUAAUCAGUGUGCUAUCUGAGGCAAUGUAUAGAGUUCCAGUUCUGUUUUUCUUGAGAGCUGACCCUGUAAAUUCUAGCUCUGUUUUCUUUGAGCUGAUAUGUAAAUUCUUCAAUGUUUAAAUAAAGUUCAGCCUCAGGCCCUUAAAGAUAAUACUACUCCCCAGAUUAAAAGGUGAUGGUGUGUUUAUAUGUUAACAAUAAGGUUCUCUUAGGAAUGCCAUUCAAAUAAAAAUAUUUUGUGUAAUUGAGGACGCAAUUCCAGAAAUGGUACCUCCAGAAAGAUUACAACUGAGAUUGCCAUCACACCAAAUCUAGAUGAAACUAUUGAGCGAAAAGGAGAAAACACAAAUUGAAUGCAUCACUAUCUCGUUGUUUCUCUAGGAGCAGAAAAAGAUAUUUUUAAAGGAACGGAGUAUCAUGUGAUGCAGCUCGUGCACAUAGAGGUAGUUUGAUGCGGAGGUAAAGUUACCGUGCGAGCUUAUUGUCUCUUACGGCAGUGGUUCGGGUGCGCAGACUUAGUAAGCGCCAUAACUUACUUAGCAUGCAUGAGGGAAAUUUACGUCACAACCUUUGUUUCUUAUGGCAGCGCCAUAACAGUUUCUCACAGGACGUAGCUUAGUGCCAUGCAUAAUGUAAGAUUACCUCUCUCCCUUUUAUACGGCUGAGGAAUGGUUUCUUCCUCCCCAUAGUAAUCUUACCUCACCUGUUUUUAUUUCUUAUGUUUCAAAACUCUGGAUGUGGGAUAGGCUGGGGUGAGGAAUAAGAA